rnacentral:rRNA from 1 species
UACGUAUGGUGCAAGCGUUGUCCGGAAUUACUGGGUGUAAAGGGAGCGCAGGCGGGAAGCCAAGUCAGCUGUGAAAACUACGGGCUUAACUUGUAGACUGCAGUUGAAACUGGUUUUCUUGAGUGAAGUAGAGGUUGGCGGAAUUCCGAGUGUAGCGGUGAAAUGCGUAGAUAUUCGGAGGAACACCGGUGGCGAAGGCGGCCAACUGGGCUUUAACUGACGCUGAGGCUCGAAAGUGUGGGGAGCAAACAGG